CGUGGGUGAUCUGCCCUGCACUCUGGGAUAAGCCUGGGAAACUGGGUCUAAUACCGGAUAGGACCAUGCUUUAGUGCGUGUGGUGGAAAGUUUUUCGGUGUAGGAUGAGCCCGCGGCCUAUCAGCUUGUUGGUGGGGUAAUGGCCUACCAAGGCGGCGACGGGUAGCCGGACUGAGAGGUUGGUCGGCCACAUUGGGACUGAGAUACGGCCCAG
rnacentral:rRNA from 1 species